UACAUAAACUUUUUGGGAUGCUUAAAAAUUAGCUGGAUCUAGAAGAGCGAAAAUUAUUCCUUAAAUUUUCAUUUUAGCGCUCAAAUUUUUCCAUUUUUUUUCUUCUCUCCAUCGAACUCUCAAUUUUACUGUUUACCUCUCUUGUUCUUCCCCAAUUUACCGACGACGAGUCUAUCCUUAUGAAGAUUGUUGGUUUUUUCGGAUUAUUGAACGAAUUGACGGCAUGUGGCAUCUCCGGCGGCGGCUUGCAAAUAGAGCUGUAAUUUCCAAGUUUACAGAUGCAGGGCAAGUAUGGAAUCACCAAGGAAGAUUGUGAAGCUGGAAAAUGAAGAACGUACUUCUCUAUUGCAGCAAAUGGAAGGCAUUCAAGCUAGCUACUCUUUCUGGUUUCGUAUCUUCUGGCAAGUUGGUUUGAUUUACUUGUAAGAUUGAUGCUUCUGCAUAUAUUGGACAGUUAGAGCUUUCACACAUGUUAUUUGAGCAUGAUGUUUGGAAGGUGAAUUAUUCAUUUUUCCUACUGCUAGAAAAGAAUAUUGUACUGAUAAGUCAUUUUUGAACUCUAUUAAUUUUAUAAAUAUUCGAUGAGAUUCUAUUGUAAUCUCAUAAAAAUUCAGACAAUGAGUUAGUUUGUUGAAUUAACAGUAGAUUUGAUGAUGUUAGAAAUUUUGUUGCACCUUCAAUAUAUAUGUAUUUUUCGUAA